UCCUACGGGAGGCAGCAGUGGGGAAUAUUGGACAAUGGGGGGAACCCUGAUCCAGCGACGCCGCGUGAGUGAAGAAAUAUUUCGGUACGUAAAGCUCUAUCAGCAGGGAAGAAUAAUGACGGUACCUGACUAAGAAGCCCCGGCUAACUACGUGCCAGCAGCCGCGGUAAUACGUAGGGGGCAAGCGUUAUCCGGAUUUACUGGGUGUAAAGGGAGCGUAGACGGCUGUGCAAGUCUGAAGUGAAAUGCCGGGGCCCAACCCCGGAACUGCUUUGGAAACUGUACAGCUAGAGUGCAGGAGGGGG
rnacentral:rRNA from 1 species